ACAUAAACCCGAUUGGCGUGGAUGCCGAUUUUUCAUCGGCAGAAACAAAAGCGGGACUGAAA
rnacentral:sRNA from 1 species